GGAAGUGUGUGUCUUCUGUUUGUGAUGGCACGUAGCUGAACAUUGAUCGCUAGACCGUUAUUAGUGUUUGCAGAUCUGCUCAGUGGGCAUCCGUCACACUAUUGUUCUCCCAACAUAAAUUUGCCUUGGCAGAUGCUUGGUGCUGAAGUUCAUGUGUUGGUUUCCUGUUGCAUCGACGGCGGGUCGAAACGCACAGUUAAGCAUUGUUCCGUCAGGUGUUUCUGGCAACGGUGGUGGUUCGCGCUGCCAUUCUGACCCAAGGCUUCUGGCGGUGUGCAAUUGCUGCGAGACCGGCAUAGAAUUUCCCAGUCUGUCGUUUUCAAAAUUUCUUAGUUAAGUAACUUGGUAGCUUAGCUUCGGAUUUUCGUAAAUUUGCAGUUCAGAACACUUCCACAUAAGUGGCAUUGCCGAGCAAUUUGCCCAUUAAUUUU
rnacentral:snRNA from 2 species